AGCAAAAUAAGUUGCAUUGAUCACACUACAAAGGUAGAUAAUUGUCUCAACAAAAUACACCCCAAAACUACAUAAGAAGUCAGCUCAAAUAAAAAUAUUUGAAAUUGUUUAAAACUGCAACAGAAUUCUACAAUCUGAAAGAUUAGAAAUGGUUUAAGAUGAAGCACCACUGCGGAGAACUCCAGCUUUCUUAGGCUUCCUCUGGGCAAUCUGGGUUUCAGGCUCUUUCUUGACCGGCUCUUCCUUCUCAGACAAUAUUAACUCAAUGUGGCAAGGCGAGGACAUAUAAGGGUUGAUCCGCCCAUGGGCACGAUAUGUCCGGCGCCUUUGCUUCUGAGCCUGAUUCACUUGAAUAUGAGAUAUGUAGAGAGCAUCAACAUCCAAUCCUUUCAUAUCUGCAUUACUCUCAGCAUUCUUUAGCAAAUCCAGAAUGAACUUUGCAGACUUCAUAGGCCAGCGGCCCUGACCAUUAGAGUGGCGAGCUUUCACUUGGCCUGUACGGCCUACACCCCCACAGUAUCUGCGGAAUGGUAUGGCCUGCUUGUGUGCCAUGACAUCCUCAAGGUACCUUUUAGCCUUGGCCAAAGGCAUCUUCCGGAGAGCAAAUGCAGUCUCACGAGUGUUCUUGAAGUGAACCCUGAGAUCCUUUCCGCAUGCCUUCGAUGACUUGGUGGGGUUAGAGGGAUCUCUAGAGUACUUCACCAUGGCAGCGCCGGCGGUGGUGGCAGAGGC
rnacentral:misc_RNA from 1 species